ACGACGCUGCGCGAGUGCUAACACAUGCAAGUCGAACGAGACCUUCGGGUCGUAGUGGGCGACGACCGGGUGCGUAACGCGUGGGAAUCUGCCCUUGGGUUCGGAAUAACUCGCCGAAAGGCGUGCUAAUACCGGAUGAUGUCGUAAGACCAAAGAUUUAUCGCCCAGGGAUGAGCCCGCGUAAGAUUAGGUAGUUGGUGAGGUAAAGGCUCACCAAGCCGACGAUCUUUAGCUGGUCUGAGAGGAUGAUCAGCCACACUGGGACUGAGACACGGCCCAG
rnacentral:rRNA from 1 species